rnacentral:rRNA from 1 species
GACGAACGCUGGCGGCGUGCUUAACACAUGCAAGUCGAACGGAAAGGCCCCCAUCUUGGUGGGGGUGCUCGAGUGGCGAACGGGUGAGUAACACGUGGGUGAUCUGCCCUGUACUUCGGGAUAAGCUUGGGAAACUGGGUCUAAUACCGGAUAGGACCAUGGUUUAGUGUCUCAUGGUGGAAAGAUUAUUGUUUUGGUGCAGGAUGAGCUCGCGGCCUAUCAGCUUGUUGGUGGGGUAAUGGCCUACCAAGGCGUCGACGGGUAGCCGGCCUGAGAGGGUGGACGGCCACAUUGGGACUGAGAUACGGCCCAGAUUCCUACGGGAGGCAGCAGUGGGGAAUAUUGCACAAUGGGCGCAAGCCUGAUGCAGCGACGCCGCGUGGGGGAUGACGGCCUUCGGGUUGUAAACUCCUUUCGUUAGGGACGAAGCCGCACUUUUUUUGGGUGUGGUGACGGUACCUUUGUUAAGAAGCACCGGCUAACUACGUG